rnacentral:rRNA from 1 species
AUUGAACGCUGGCGGCAGGCCUAACACAUGCAAGUCGAGCGGAUGAAGAGAGCUUGCUCUCUGAUUCAGCGGCGGACGGGUGAGUAAUGCCUAGGAAUCUGCCUGGUAGUGGGGGACAACGUUUCGAAAGGAACGCUAAUACCGCAUACGUCCUACGGGAGAAAGUGGGGGAUCUUCGGACCUCACGCUAUCAGAUGAGCCUAGGUACGAUUAGCUAGUUGGUGGGGUAAAGGCUAACCAAGGCGACGAUCGUUAACUGGUCUGAGAGGAUGAUCAGUCACACUGGAACUGAGACACGGUCCAGACUCCUACGGGAGGCAGCAGUGGGGAAUAUUGGACAAUGGGCGAAAGCCUGAUCCAGCCAUGCCGCGUGUGUGAAGAAGGUCUUCGGAUUGUAAAGCACUUUAAGUUGGGAGGAAGGGCAGUAAGUUAAUACCUUGCUGUUUUGACGUUACCGACAGAAUAAGCACCGGCUAACUUCGUGCCAGCCGCCGCAGUAAAAC